GUUGAAAUACCGGUUCCCGUACGAUUACCGAAGUUAAGCAACGUCGAGCUUAGUUAGCACCUAGAUAGGUUACCGCUUGAGAAUACCAGGUACUGUAA